CGCUAUCUGCAGUCGAGCGGACAGAAGGGAGCUUGCUCCCGGAUGUUAGCGGCGGACGGGUGAGUAACACGUGGGUAACCUGCCUGUAAGACUGGGAUAACUCCGGGAAACCGGAGCUAAUACCGGAUAGUUCCUUGAACCGCAUGGUUCAAGGAUGAAAGACGGUUUCGGCUGUCACUUACAGAUGGACCCGCGGCGCAUUAGCUAGUUGGUGAGGUAACGGCUCACCAAGGCGACGAUGCGUAGCCGACCUGAGAGGGUGAUCGGCCACACUGGGACUGAGACACGGCCCAGACUCCUACGGGAGGCAGCAGUAGGGAAUCUUCCGCAAUGGACGAAAGUCUGACGGAGCAACGCCGCGUGAGUGAUGAAGGUUUUCGGAUCGUAAAGCUCUGUUGUUAGGGAAGAACAAGUGCAAGAGUAACUGCUUGCACCUUGACGGUACCUAACCAGAAAGCCACGGCUAACUACGUGCCAGCAGCCGCGGUAAUACGUAGGUGGCAAGCGUUGUCCGGAAUUAUUGGGCGUAAAGGGCUCGCAGGCGGUUUCUUAAGUCUGAUGUGAAAGCCCCCGGCUCAACCGGGGAGGGUCAUUGGAAACUGGGAAACUUGAGUGCAGAAGAGGAGAGUGGAAUUCCACGUGUAGCGGUGAAAUGCGUAGAGAUGUGGAGGAACACCAGUGGCGAAGGCGACUCUCUGGUCUGUAACUGACGCUGAGGAGCGAAAGCGUGGGGGAGCGAACAGGAUUAGAUACCCUGGUAGUCCACGCCGUACACGAUGAGUGCUAAGUGUUAGGGGGUUUCCGCCCCUUAGUGCUGCAGCUAACGCAUUAAGCACUCCGCCUGGGGAGUACGGUCGCAAGACUGAAACUCAAAGGAAUUGACGGGGGCCCGCACAAGCGGUGGAGCAUGUGGUUUAUUUCGAAGCAACGCGAUGAACCUUACCAGGUCUUGACAUCCUCUGACAACCCUAGAGAUAGGGCUUUUCCCAUC
rnacentral:rRNA from 1 species